ACAAUUCAAAAGAAGAAAGCUUGAAAUCUCAGAAAACAAGAACAAUUGUGAUCGAGUUAUUCAGCCAUGGAUGAAGAGUAGGAUGUGAUAGUUCUAGGGACCGGCCUUAAGGAAUGCAUUCUCAGUGGCGUUCUCUCCGUUGAUGGACUCAAAGUACUGCACAUGGAUAGGAAUGACUAUUAUGGUGGAGAGUCGACCUCUCUUAAUCUUGUGCAGCUUUGGAAACAUUUCAAGGGAGAUGAUAAGCCUCCAGAAAAACUUGGAUCAAGCAGGGAUUAUAA